rnacentral:rRNA from 1 species
GUGAACGCUGGCGGUAGGCCUAACACAUGCAAGUCGAACGGCAGCACAGUAAGAGCUUGCUCUUACGGGUGGCGAGUGGCGGACGGGUGAGGAAUACAUCGGAAUCUACUUUUUCGUGGGGGAUAACGUAGGGAAACUUACGCUAAUACCGCAUACGACCUACGGGUGAAAGCAGGGGAUCUUCGGACCUUGCGCGAUUGAAUGAGCCGAUGUCGGAUUAGCUAGUUGGCGGGGUAAAGGCCCACCAAGGCGACGAUCCGUAGCUGGUCUGAGAGGAUGAUCAGCCCCACUGGAAAUGAGACACGGUCCAGACUCCUACGGGAGGCAGCAGUGGGGAAUAUUGGACAAUGGGCGCAAGCCUGAUCCAGCCAUACCGCGUGGGUGAAGAAGGCCUUCGGGUUGUAAAGCCCUUUUGUUGGGAAAGAAAAGCAGCAGGUUAAUACCCCGCUGUUCUGACGGUACCCAAAGAAUAAGCACCGGCUAACUUCGUG